CAUCCCCAGUCUCAAGGGGAAACCAGGACAAUGAGAACAGCCACUUGCCAUCAGGAGUCACUGAAGGGGCCCCAGGAUGGGAUGGUGGGGAGAUAAGAACCAUGAGAGAAGUUAGCACAAAGGAGUUAUGGGACAAAAGGUCCAAGAUAGGCAGAAAAGAAAAUGUUGCCAGUUGAUGGUGAAGAAAGGAAGUCAGAGGGCUCAGACACUGUGGGGGACAGAACAUCUCCGUGUGCACUCUCAUCUCUUGUAGUCAGCAACAGGUUUCCACAGGGAAGGCCCUACAUCAUCUGCUACCCUGAAAGAUCUGGAGGUAAGAGGCUCUGGGCAGAGGUGCAGUGACCCUUCGGGUCAACCCUCCAACCUCCUCCUCCAGGUGGGACUGGGUGCCCCUCUGCCAGCUGAGACAGCCCACACACCCCAGCCCUAAGGAUCAUUCUCUCUACCUUUCCCCCCACUCCUGCUCCACCUCCUCCUCUCUGCAUGCACCUCAGAGCCCGUGCCAAGAACGAGCAGUAGUCCUGGAUUCAACGUCCGUAAAAAUCAGUCGACUGAAGAACACCAUCAAAUCUUUGGAAAAGAAAGCAAACAACGAGAGACAGAAAGCUGAAAGGGAGCUAGAGGUUCAAAUCCAGACAUUGAUCAUACAGAAAGAGGAACUAAAUACGGACCUGUACCACAUGGAACGUUCUCUCAGAUACUUUGAAGGUGGGAAUCUGGGCACCCUGUCAUCCUUCAACCUGGCACUUUGACAGGUCUUCAGGGGGAGUCCUUUGGGCCCCAUCUCAACUCCCUCAUUACAGAAGAGUCCAAGGACCUGGCUGUCCGCCUGCAAUAUUCAUUGCAGUGUAAAGGAGAGUUAGAGAGGGCUCUCUCUGCUGUCAUCGCCACAGAGAAGAAGAAGGCAAACCAGGUGAGUCCAGCCACCUGCCUCAUCCCCUGGGAGCCUGGUUUUGCAGAUGGAGGAGUGAGCCUAAAGGUCCCUUCUGCAGGAUGGCGUGUCCUGC
rnacentral:lncRNA from 1 species